rnacentral:rRNA from 1 species
UACGUAGGGUGCGAGCGUUAAUCGGAAUUACUGGGCGUAAAGUGUGCGCAGGCGGCCAUGCAAGUCGAGUGUGAAAGCCCCGAGCUUAACUUGGGAAUUGCGCUCGAAACUACGUGGCUGGAGUGUGGCAGAGGAAGGUGGAAUUCCACGUGUAGCGGUGAAAUGCGUAGAGAUGUGGAGGAACACCGAUGGCGAAGGCAGCCUUCUGGGCCAACACUGACGCUCAUGCACGAAAGCGUGGGGAGCAAACGGG